GGAAAAAAAAGUCAAGGACUGCAUUUGUGACUAAUUGUAUAACAGGUUACUUUAGUUUCUGUUCUGUGGAAAGUGUAAAGCAUUCCAACAAAGGGUUUUAAUGUAGAUUUUUUUUUUUUUUUUGCACCCAUGCUGUUGAUUGCUAAAUGUAAUAGUCUGAUCAUGACGCUGAAUAAAUGUGUGUGUUUUUU